CGGUGAUAAACCGGAGGAAGGUGGGGACGACGUCAAGUCAUCAUGGCCCUUACGAGUAGGGCUACACACGUGCUACAAUGGCGCAUACAGAGGGCAGCCAACUUGCGAAAGUGAGCGAUCCCAAAAAGUGCGUCGUAGUCCGGAUUGGAGUCUGCAACUCGACUCCAUGAAGUCGGAAUCGCUAGUAAUCGUGGAUCAGAAUGCCACGGUGAAUACGUUCCCGGGCCUUGUACACACCGCCCGU
rnacentral:rRNA from 1 species